GAUAUUUACUCUCCAAAAAAAUACAUACUGUUCCAUUCCAAGAUCCCCAAUUUCUCAGCCUUAUUCCUGCGAUUCCAACUUCCAAAUGAAGAUCUGCAACAAAGGUUCGUUAAUCGAAUCAAUUUUGCAAUCCCAGUUCAUCAGGGGCUGGCUUUUACAUUUGACUAGAUUCGACAUGUUGAUUUAUAUACACAAAUAACACGUCUUAAGUGGCGUGUUCAUUCACUGCAGGGGCUGAAGAAUUGAAGAGCUCUUGAGUAAAGAAUCUCAGUAAAGAAUGAACCCUUCGGACACUCGAACCAACCCGCGACGACGAAUGAAUUUUGACCCGUUUAAUUUUAAAUGUAAUUAGUGACUCAUGUACGUAUAUUCUUUGUAAUUUUUUGACGUGUUCAAUUGUAAUCCAAUGAAUUUUGACCCGUUUCAUUUGAAAGCAAUGUAUUUUUACCUUGUUUGAAGUGGUUCAUUUUUAUUCAACAAUUAUGACUU
rnacentral:lncRNA from 1 species